UACAGAGGUCCCAGGCGUUGUUCGGAUUCACUGGGCGUAAAGGGUGCGCAGGUGGGCUGGUAAGUUCGAUGUGAAAGCCCCGGGCUUAACCCGGGAAUGGCAUUGGAUACUACUGGUCUGGAGGAUCGGAGGGGGGACUGGAAUUCUUGGUGUAGCAGUGAAAUGCGUAGAUAUCAAGAGGAACACCAGUGGCGAAGGCGAGUCCCUGGACGAUACCUGACACUGAGGCACGAAAGCCAAGGGAGCAAACAGG
rnacentral:rRNA from 1 species